GCCGGGCGUGGUAGCGCGUGCGCCUGUAGUCCUAGCUACUCGGGAGGCUGAGGCAGGAGGAUCACUUGAGUCCAGGAGUUCUGGGCUGCAGUAUGCUAUGCGAUCGGGUGUCCGCACUAAGUUCAGCAUCAAUAUGGUGAUGUCCCGUGAGCGGGGGACCACCAGGUUGCCUAAGGAGGGGUGAAGCAGCCCAGGUCGGAAACGGAGCAGGUCAAAACUCCUGUGCUGAUCAGCAGUGGGAUCGUGCCUGUGAAUAGCCACUGCACUCCAGCUUGGGCAACACAGUGAGACCCCAUCUCU
rnacentral:SRP_RNA from 1 species